GUAACUGGACCUAGCGCCAAAAUGAGAUUAAUGGAGAAAUCAAAGAAAAAGUAAAGAUACAUCGUUUUUUUUUUCCCUCAAAACAUAUUUCUCCCCUUGCAUCUCUCAAUAUCUACGCGGGAAGUUGCAAUAGAGAAUCAUUUCAGCAAGUUCAAUUUUAUGAAAAGAAUAAACAUCAAAGAACGGGUUCAAAUUCUUCUUGAUAAUAUCGACAUUCUUUUCUUUUAUUUGCACUUCACAGAGUAAGCCAGUAUAUGCCCAAGGCUGUAAGAGGAUCAUCGUGCUAAUGUUCAAAACUAGAUUUGUUUUCCAAGUUUGAAUCAAUUUCUUACCGGACUAAAAGUAUGUAAUCUUAUUCCAGUUCUUCUUUCUUUCCUUUCUAAUAGUUGGUUGAUAACGGGGUAUCCUUAACAGUAGCAUCACAUCUGUAUUAAAAUCCCAGAUUGGUGUAAACGAGAUUUAAUGAAGUCCAAAUUUUUAGAAUUUAGGUGGCUCCAAGUGUGACCAGUGGACGGAGCCAAGCUUGAAAAAGAAGCAAAUGAUGUUGAAAUUACUAUCAACUUGCAGUACGGAAUAUAGUGUUGCUAAGAAAUGUGCGUAAGCCAUGAGAGAGGGACAAGCGAUAGGUGUCUUUGAGUACAUAGCAAGUUUUUCUGGUAUUAACUCCAAAGAAAUCAUCCUCGAUAGGCGAUAGCAUUCAUAACUAACGAAUGUUUCAUAGCUUUUAUCAAUGCAUCAGCAGUCUUAUUAGAGUAUUAUUUCUAUAUCAGUUGGGUGUUAUCCUAUACUAUUUAGAUAAUUCAAUUUCUGCGUUCAAAUUAGCUCUAUUGUACUAUUUCAUUUUA